UACAUAGGGGCCAAGCGUUGUCCGGAUUUAUUGGGCGUAAAGAGCUCGUAGGCGGUUCGGCAAGUCGAAUGUGAAAUCUCCACGCUCAACGUGGAGGGGUCAUUCGAAACUGCCGUGACUCGAGUCCGGUAGGGGAGUGUGGAAUUCCCGGUGUAGCGGUGAAAUGCGCAGAGAUCGGGAGGAACACCCGUAGCGAAGGCGGCACUCUGGGCCGUGACUGACGCUGAGGAGCGAAAGCGUGGGGAGCAAACAGG
rnacentral:rRNA from 1 species